rnacentral:rRNA from 1 species
AACGAACGCUGGCGGCAUGCCUAACACAUGCAAGUCGAACGAACCCUUCGGGGUUAGUGGCGCACGGGUGCGUAACGCGUGGGAAUCUGCCCUUUGCUUCGGAAUAACAGUUAGAAAUGACUGCUAAUACCGGAUGAUGUCUUCGGACCAAAGAUUUAUCGGCAAGGGAUGAGCCCGCGUAGGAUUAGGUAGUUGGUGGGGUAAAGGCCUACCAAGCCGACGAUCCUUAGCUGGUCUGAGAGGAUGAUCAGCCACACUGGGACUGAGACACGGCCCAGACUCCUACGGGAGGCAGCAGUGGGGAAUAUUGGACAAUGGGCGCAAGCCUGAUCCAGCAAUGCCGCGUGAGUGAUGAAGGCCUUCGGGUCGUAAAGCUCUUUUACCAGGGAUGAUAAUGACAGUACCUGGAGAAUAAGCUCCGGCUAACUCCGUGCCAGCAGCCCGCGGUAAAAC